rnacentral:rRNA from 1 species
GUGGGGAAUCUUAGACAAUGGGGGCAACCCUGAUCUAGCCAUGCCGCGUGAUCGAUGAAGGCCUUAGGGUUGUAAAGAUCUUUCAGCUGGGAAGAUAAUGACGGUACCAGCAGAAGAAGCCCCGGCUAACUCCGUGCCAGCAGCCGCGGUAAUACGGAGGGGGCUAGCGUUGUUCGGAAUUACUGGGCGUAAAGCGCACGUAGGCGGAUUGGAAAGUUGGGGGUGAAAUCCCGGGGCUCAACCCCGGAACUGCCUUCAAAACUCCCAGUCUUGAGGUCGAGAGAGGUGAGUGGAAUUCCGAGUGUAGAGGUGAAAUUCGUAGAUAUUCGGAGGAACACCAGUGGCGAAGGCGGCUCACUGGCUCGAUACUGACGCUGAGGUGCGAAAGCGUGGGGAGCAAACAGGAUUAGAAACCCGGGUAGUCC